GAGGGAAAGGACUUUGUUUUUGUUUUUUCAUUUUUUAUUGGUUUGAGUUUAUCUUUUUCCUUUAUGAUAAGAUGGUUUGCAUUUAUCUUGAUGAUGUCAAGCUUUUAUUCAAAUGUGUUGGCGCAUUGAAUAGAAAGGAGUUUGUCCUAGACCGCUUGGACAGAGAGCAACAAUAGGAAGUUGGCAUUUGCUAAUUGUCCCCCUUUCUGCAUCGUAAUGCAUUUUCAUGUACUUACUUGCACAUAGUAUCGUCUUUCUCUAUGCAUUGCAGUCAUAUGGUUUGAUCUACUGUUUUUCACUUGCCUAUAAUAUGUUUUCUGAUUAAAAUCUGAUUUGUAAAUAGUCUGAAGAAUUCAGAGCCUGAGUUUAUGAUCUCAACACCUGAGUGACUGUUGCAACUACUUUCCUUGAAGGCCAUUGAUCUAUCAUGAUGUUGCAAAAAGGAAAAGAAAAAUGUUUCUAUAAACCCUGCAGUAUAGGAUCAACUUUCACACCAAAGCUUCAGGGGAAGUUUUUGGCCACAGAAAAUUUCUUUCACACAUCUAAGUUCUUUGGUUUGGGCCCAAGGGAAUUUCUUUCUAAUCUGAUGAUUGCUGGACAACAAUUCUAUGAAGAGGAUUGGUCAAAGUGAAAGAAGAGAUAUCAAGCAUUUGAUGAAGAAGCUUUGUUGCAGUAUUGCUUAUCUUCAGCAUAUUAUGUGGCCUUACUUCAGCACAGUCUUGGAAUCUCUUUGGAUGAUGAAAGUAUUGUUUACAUGCAGUAUUUCUGUACAGAAGCAAUUGACUUAAUUUGAAGGACGAGUUCUUGAUUCUCCAAGUUGAAUGUAGGAAUAGUGAUAAUUGCACUCCUAUUAUGGGAACGUGGAACUUUAACAAGACACUUUGAACUCUACUUGCAUUGAUCGCUGGAUUGUUGUCAACUUCGAUCUAUGCAUGCUGUGAUACCAGGCAUAUCUCGAGGGACCUUAUCAACUGUGGAAGGAAAAAGGGCAUUUCAAGUACACCUAUUUGAAUUUUAAUCCCAACUAGAAUCAAAGGCAAACAUAAAAGGACUGAAAAGAAACAACCAUCCUAUACAACAUGAAUUUCAGUCAUGAACAAACUGAUUGUUGAAAAGUGAUUAUGUCUUAGCACUGUAUUUGAUUCUCCCAUAUUUCCUGAGCUUUGCCACAAUCAACAAGCUCAGCCGAAAUUAGAGCUAGAAACGCCUCAUUUAGUUUCGUUCCUGUUCUUCAUCUUUCUUUGGCUGAGUGAGGGUGAUUCUCAGGGGUCGCUAUAGUGGCUAGGGCUAGUCUUCCUACACGGCUUGACGCCUAGCUCUAGAUGAAGCUGCGGGGGUUACCACCACAUUAGGUGUCUAACAUAUUCAUACCUAACAAUUUUCCACAAAAUGGUGACGAAAGGUCAAGCUAAAGAGAUAUUUGCUGAUGGAGGGACUUGAUCUACUUCAUCUUUUGUUGUAAAACAGACUUAAUAUUUAGUUAAUCAUGUCAACUAUAUUUUCUAUGUUUUUAAAUUUAGUCCUUAAAUAACAUUGUGUUAGCUCCAAAACUCGCGGCAAAGUGUGGGCACAGUUUCUAGUAUACACUAAAUGAGUGUUUUUCUUAUGAAUAGUGGACUGGCGAUUUUGCUAUUUUGCGUAAUUUCCCCCUCCACCUGUAAGCAUCAAGUGGCACCAACUACUGCUAUUCUGUCUGUAUAGCAUCGAUUCGUUCCUACUAUCUUAUAGUUAGAAGAGAGAGAAUUAAAAUUGACAGAAAGAGAGAGUGAAAGAGAGAGAGUUCGGUUCAAUCUUUUGUUGUUGUUGAGGCUGGUCUCUGCUAUGGUUCUUAGUCUUGCUUACAUUGAUAAUGAGAGGGGUUGUUGAUCGGCAUAGACAAGUCAGAAUUUCCGCAUGCUCCCAGUUUGUCGGCAUAAAAAAUAACAUCUUUAUGUAAAUU